CCCCUAGUAACGGCGAGUGAAGCGGGAACAGCUCAAAUUUGAAAUCUGGCCUUCGGGUCCGAAUUGUAAUUUGCAGAGGAUGCUUUUGGUUAGGUACUUUCCGAGUUCCCUGGAACGGGACGCCUUAGAGGGUGAGAGCCCCGUACGGUUGGAUACCGAGCCUUUGUAAAGCUCCUUCGACGAGUCGAGUAGUUUGGGAAUGCUGCUCUAAAUGGGAGGUAAAUUUCUUCUAAAGCUAAAUACCGGCCAGAGACCGAUAGCGCACAAGUAGAGUGAUCGAAAGAUGAAAAGCACUUUGAAAAGAGGGUUAAAUAGCACGUGAAAUUGUUGAAAGGGAAGCGUUUAUGACCAGACUUUUUCCAGGCGAAUCAUCCGGUGUUCUCGCCGGUGCACUUCGUCUGGUUGAGGCCAGCAUCGGUUUCCGUGGGGGGAUAAAAGCGGUGGGAAUGUGACUCCUCCGGGAGUGUUAUAGCCCGCCGUAUAAUACCUCCAUGGGGACCGAGGUUCGCGCAUUGCAAGGAUGCUGGCGUAAUGGUCAUCAACGACCCGUCUUGAAACACGGACCAAGGAGUCGAACAUUUGUGCAAGUGUUUGGGUGUUAAACCCUCACGCGUAAUGAAAGUGAACGGAGGUGAGAGCCCUUACGGGUGCAUCAUCGACCGAUCCUGAUGUUUUCGGAUGGAUUUGAGUAAGAGCAUAACUGUUCGGACCCGAAAGAUGGUGAACUAUGCGUGGAUAGGGUGAAGCCAGAGGAAACUCUGGUGGAGGCUCGCAGCGGUUCUGACGUGCAAAUCGAUCGUCAAAUCUGCGCAUGGGGGCGAAAGACUAAUCGAACCAUCUAGUAGCUGGUUACCGC
rnacentral:rRNA from 1 species